GAUGAACGCUGGCGGCGUGCUUAAUACAUGCAAGUCGAACGGAGACAUUAGCAAUAAUGUUUUAGUGGCGAGCGGGUGAGUAACGCGUUGGUGACCUGCCCCGAAGAGAGGGAUAACAGUUCGAAAGGAUUGCUAAUACCCCAUGUGGUUGUUUGGAUUAGAUGCCUUACAACUAAACGGAUUUAUUCGCUUCGGGAGGGGCCUGCGUCCCAUCAGCUAGUUGGUAGGGUAAUGGCCUACCAAGGCUAUGACGGGUAGGGGACCUGAGAGGGUGGCCCCCCAGAAUGGAACUGAAACACGGUCCAUACACCUACGGGUGGCAGCAGUAGGGAAUAUUGGUUAAUCUACGAAAGCGGGAACCAGCAACGCCGCGUGCACGAUGAAGACCUUCGGGUUGUAGAGUGCUUUUUGAAAGGAUGAGUAAGGACAGUACUCGUAGAAUAAGCUUCGGCUAACUACGUGCCAGCCGCCGCAGUAAAAC
rnacentral:rRNA from 1 species